CACAGGGUCUAUAAAUGGCUCGCAGGUCACACUGAGAGACCAUUCCCGUAUAGACGUAGAAAACCGAUAAGAAAACCAAGACAGUAUACAGUUGAUCAAACCUCAGGGAAUUCUUCAUCGGAAUCAGACAUACAUUAUACAACCACGAGCGCACCAGAAAGGGAGCCUUUUUUAGAGUCAGACCCAGGAUCAUCCAGGAUCCACACGAGACUAACCACACAACUAGAAGCCGAAGGCAUAGCACCAGGCGUGGGCAAAAGGGCAGAGCCUAUAGGACCACGAUAC